rnacentral:rRNA from 1 species
UGGGGAAUAUUGGACAAUGGGCGAAAGCCUGAUCCAGCCAUGCCGCGUGUGUGAAGAAGGUCUUCGGAUUGUAAAGCACUUUAAGUUGGGAGGAAGGGCAGUAAGCGAAUACCUUGCUGUUUUGACGUUACCGACAGAAUAAGCACCGGCUAACUCUGUGCCAGCAGCCGCGGUAAUACAGAGGGUGCAAGCGUUAAUCGGAAUUACUGGGCGUAAAGCGCGCGUAGGUGGUUCGUUAAGUUUAAUGUGAAAGCCCCGGGCUCAACCUGGGAACUGCAUCCAAAACUGGCGAGCUAGAGUAGGGCAGAGGGUGGUGGAAUUUCCUGUGUAGCGGUGAAAUGCGUAGAUAUAGGAAGGAACACCAGUGGCGAAGGCGACCACCUGGGCUCAUACUGACACUGAGGUGCGAAAGCGUGGGGAGCAAACAGG